rnacentral:rRNA from 1 species
CAGUGGGGAAUUUUGGACAAUGGGCGCAAGCCUGAUCCAGCAAUGCCGCGUGAGUGAAGAAGGCCUUCGGGUUGUAAAGCUCUUUUGUCAGGGAAGAAACGGCUCAGGCUAAUAUCCUGGGCUAAUGACGGUACCUGAAGAAUAAGCACCGGCUAACUACGUGCCAGCAGCCGCGGUAAUACGUAGGGUGCAAGCGUUAAUCGGAAUUACUGGGCGUAAAGCGUGCGCAGGCGGUUUUGUAAGUCUGUCGUGAAAGCCCCGGGCUUAACCUGGGAAUUGCGAUGGAGACUGCAAGGCUUGAAUCUGGCAGAGGGGGGUAGAAUUCCACGUGUAGCAGUGAAAUGCGUAGAGAUGUGGAGGAACACCGAUGGCGAAGGCAGCCCCCUGGGUCAAGAUUGACGCUCAUGCACGAAAGCGUGGGGAGCAAACAGGAUUAGA